rnacentral:tRNA from 1 species
CUCCCCGUAGCACAAUGGAUAGUGCAUGCGCCUCCUAAGCGCAAGAUGUGGGUUCGAUUCCCGCCGAGGAGGCCA